AUGCCAUCAGUAGCACAUAGAUUAAAAUUAGAAGAAUACAGAAAAGAUUUAUGGGGCCUCUGCACAAAGAUGGCAUGCAAAUUCUCAACAUAUUGCAUUUUUUC
ensembl:snRNA U6 U6 spliceosomal RNA